UACCAGCUCUCCGAGUGGUGGGGAUGAUUAUUGGGCUUAAAGCGUCCGUAGCCGGCUUAGCAAGUCCCCUGUUAAACUCAGCGACUUAAUCGUUGAAUCGCGGGAGAUACUACUAGGCUAGGAGGCGGGAGAGGUCGACGGUACUUCCGGGGUAGGGGUGAAAUCCUAUAAUCCCGGGAGGACCACCAGUGGCGAAGGCUGUCGACUAGAACGCGCUCGACGGUGAGGGACGAAAGCUGGGGGAGCGAACCGGAUUAGAUACCCGGGUAGUCCCAGCUGUAAACGAUGCGAGCUAGGUGUUGGAAUGGCUACGUGCCAUUUCAGUGCCGCAGGGAAGCCAUUAAGCCCGCCGCCUGGGGAGUACGGCCGCAAGGCUGAAACUUAAGGAAUUGGCGGGGAGCACCACAAGGCGUGAAGCUUGCGGAUC
rnacentral:rRNA from 1 species